rnacentral:rRNA from 1 species
AGCCGCGGUAAUACGUAGGGCGCAAGCGUUGUCCGGAAUUAUUGGGCGUAAAGAGCUUGUAGGUGGCUUGUCGCGUCUGCCGUGAAAACCCGAGGCUCAACCUCGGGCGUGCGGUGGGUACGGGCAGGCUAGAGUGUGGUAGGGGAGACUGGAACUCCUGGUGUAGCGGUGAAAUGCGCAGAUAUCAGGAAGAACACCGAUGGCGAAGGCAGGUCUCUGGGCCAUUACUGACACUGAGAAGCGAAAGCAUGGGUAGCGAACAGGAUUAGAUACCCUGGUAGUCCAUGCCGUAAACGUUGGGCACUAGGUGUGGGGGACAUUCCACGUUUUCCGCGCCGUAGCUAACGCAUUAAGUGCCCCGCCUGGGGAGUACGGCCGCAAGGCUAAAACUCAAAGGAAUUGACGGGGGCCCGCACAAGCGGCGGAGCAUGCUGAUUAAUUCGAUGCAACGCGAAGAACCUUACCAAGGCUUGACAUGCACUGGACGGCUGCAGAGAUGUGGCUUUCUUUGGACUGGUGCACAGGUGGUGCAUGGUUGUCGUCAGCUCGUGUCGUGAGAUGUUGGGUUAAGUCCCGCAACGAGCGCAACCCUCGUUCUAUGUUGCCAGCACGUGAUGGUGGGGACUCAUAGGAGACUGCCGGGGUCAACUCGGAGGAAGGUGGGGACGACGUCAAAUCAUCAUGCCCCUUAUGUCUUGGGCUUCAAGCAUGCUACAAUGGUCGGUACAAUGGGUUGCGAAACUGUGAGGUGGAGCGAAUCCCAAAAAGCCGGCCUCAGUUCGGAUUGGGGUCUGCAACUCGACCCCAUGAAGUCGGAGUCGCUAGUAAUCGCAGAUCAGCAACGCUGCGGUGAAUACGUUCCCGGGCCUUGUACACACCGCCCGU